rnacentral:rRNA from 1 species
AAAACUCAAAGGAAUUGACGGGGGCCCGCACAAGCGGUGGAGCAUGUGGUUUAAUUCGAAGCAACGCGCAGAACCUUACCAACCCUUGACAUCCCAGGACCGGCCCAGAGAUGGGUCUUCCACUUCGGUGGCCUGGAGACAGGUGCUGCAUGGCGGUCGUCAGCUCGUGUCGUGAGAUGUUCGGUUAAGUCCGGCAACGAGCGCAACCCACGUCCCCAGUUGCCAGCAUUCAGUUGGGCACUCUGUGGAAACUGCCGGUGAUAAGCCGGAGGAAGGUGUGGAUGACCUCAAGUCCUCAUGGCCCUUACGGGUUGGGCUACACACGUGCUACAAUGGUGGUGACAGUGGGUUAAUCCCCAAAAGCCAUCUCAGUUCGGAUUGUCCUCUGCAACUCGAGGGCAUGAAGUUGGAAUCGCUAGUAAUCGCGGAACAGCAUGCCGCGGUGAAUACGUUCCCGGGCCUUGUACACACCGCCCGUCACACCAUGGGAGUUGGGUCUACCCGACGGCCGUGCGCUAACCCUUACGGGAGGCAGCGGACCACGGUAGGCUCAGCGACUGG